AUUGAACGCUGGCGGCAGGCCUAACACAUGCAAGUCGAACGAGUGGCGGACGGGUGAGUAAUGUCUCGGAAACUGCCUGAUGGAGGGGGAUCACUACUGGACACUGUAGCUACUACCGCAUACCGUCGCCUGUGCCCCGAUGGGAUUAGCUAGUAGGUGGGGAAAAGGCUCACCUAGGCGACGAUCCCUAGCUGGUCUGAGAGGAUGACCAUCCACACUGGAACUGAGAAACGGUCAAGACUCCUACGGGAGGCAGCAGUGGGGAAUAUUGCACAAUGGGGGCAAGCCGGAUGCAGCCAGGCCGCGUGUAUGAAGAAGGCCUUCGGGUUGUAAAGUACUUUCAGCGGGGAGGCGUUACCCGCAGAAGAAGCACCGGCUAACUCCGUGCCAGCAGCCGCGGUAAUUC
rnacentral:rRNA from 1 species